GCUCUCUUGGCCAAAUGGCAAGGCGUCGCUUUCCUACUAUGGUGCGAGGCGAAGAUUGCGAGUUCGAUCCUCGCAGGGAGUA
rfam:Calocera cornea HHB12733 unplaced genomic scaffold CALCOscaffold_54, whole genome shotgun sequence.